UCUCUGUACAAAAACACAAGCUGACACACUGACAAGCUGCUGGAAGCCUUUUUUCUACCCUGUUGUAGUGAACCUUGUAGCUCCACUAGAGGGCGACAUUAUCAAGUAGGAGGUGCACUACUUGUGCACUGUGUUCAACCAUUCAGUCAAUAAUAAGUGGAGCUGUGAAGAGAACAAUUCUCAGACUGGAUGUUGAACAUCAGCUAGUUUCUCCUGUUGAUUUAAACCUUGUUGUAGAGAUGGAACAUUGGCUGGGGAUUAUUCUUGCUGCUGUUUUCUUUGAGUGUAAAGGAGAAGACAGAGUGAUCCAGCCACCAGGAGAUGUCAUUACUACUGAAGGAGAGAAAGUUACUCUUGGCUGUACAUUUGAGACCAGUGACACAUUUCCAUAUUUGUUCUGGUACAAACAAGAAGUCAAUGACUUCCCAAUGUUUAUUUUGAGACGUGAUACCAUUGGAACAAAAGAAAAUGCUCCAGAGUUCCAGAAAGACAGAUUUGAUGCUACAAUCAACAAGACAUCAGUUCCUCUGGAGAUCCAGACGCUUCAGUUGUCUGACUCUGCUGUCUACUACUGUGCUCUGCAGCCCACAGUGACAGGAAACACCAAAACUCUGUACAAAAACCUUUGGAACAAAGACAACACAAUACUCAACAACGUCCACCAGAGGGAGACACACUCUGUUAACCUUCAAUAUGAUGUAGUCUAGAAUCACUUUA